UGGGGAAUAUUGCGCAANNANGGGGAACCCUGACGCAGCCAUGCCGCGUGAAUGAAGAAGGCCUUAGGGUUGUAAAGUUCUUUCGGUAUUGAGGAAGGUUGAUGUGUUAAUAGCACAUCAAAUUGACGUUAAAUACAGAAGAAGCACCGGCUAACUCCGUGCCAGCAGCCGCGGUAAUACGGAGGGUGCGAGCGUUAAUCGGAAUAACUGGGCGUAAAGGGCACGCAGGCGGUUAUUUAAGUGAGGUGUGAAAGCCCCGGGCUUAACCUGGGAAUUGCAUUUCAGACUGGGUAACUAGAGUACUUUAGGGAGGGGUAGAAUUCCACGUGUAGCGGUGAAAUGCGUAGAGAUGUGGAGGAAUACCGAAGGCGAAGGCAGCCCCUUGGGAAUGUACUGACGCUCAUGUGCGAAAGCGUGGGGAGCAAACAGGAUUAGAUACCCUGGUAGUCCACGCUGUAAACGCUGUCGAUUUGGGGGUUGGGGUUUAACUCUGGCGCCCGUAGCUAACGUGAUAAAUCGACCGCCUGGGGAGUACGGCCGCAAGGUUA
rnacentral:rRNA from 1 species